rnacentral:tRNA from 1 species
UGUUCUGUAGCUUAGUUGGUUAAAGCGCCGGACUAGCGAUAACGGAGUCGUGGGUUCGAUUCCCACCAAAACAA